rnacentral:rRNA from 1 species
GAUGAACGCUGGCGGCGUGCCUAACACAUGCAAGUCGAGCGGACAGACGAGGCUUUUGCUUGUCUGACGUUAGGGGCGGGCGGGUGAGUCACACGAGUAUACCUUACAUAUAAGAAUGACAUCAGUUCGCGAAACCGGAUAUCACACCGGAUAAGAUAUUGAACCGCAUGGUUCUUUGGACAUAGACGGUUUUGCUGUCACUAAUAGAUGGUUCCGGGCCGCAUUAGUUAGUUGGUAGGGUAACGGCCUACCAAGGCGACGAUGCGUAGACGACCUGAGAGGGUGAUCGGCCACACUGGAACUGAGACACGGUCCAGACUCCUACGGGAGGCAGCAGUAGGGAAUCUUGGGCAAUGGGCGAAAGCCUGACGCAGCAAUGCCGCGUGUGUGAUGAAGGUCUUCGGAUCGUAAAGCUCUUUUAGUAGGGAGGAACAGAUGUGUGAUAAAACAUGGCUGUCUUGACGGUACCUACUGAAUAAGCACCGGCUAACUACGUG